UUAAAAAGCUCGUAGUUGGAUCUCGGCGGUCUGAGGGCGGUUCGCUUGAUUGAGUGCUACUGCUCUAUAGGCCGUGGUUUUGCCAGAGGUCUCGGGGUGCUCUUAACCGAGUGUCCUGCGAUGCUGGCAGGUUUACUUUGAAAAAAUUAGAGUGCUCAAAGCAGGCUUUUACGCCUGAAUAUUCGUGCAUGGAAUAAUAGAAUAGGAAGUCGUUUCUAUUUUGUUGGUUUUCGGAAAUCGACUUAAUGAUUAAUAGGGACAGUCGGGGGCAUUUGUAUUCAAACGACAGAGGUGAAAUUCUUGGACCGUUUGAAGACAAACUACUGCGAAAGCAUUUGCCAAGAAUGUUUUCAUUAAUCAAGAACGAAAGUUAGAGGUUCGAAGGCGAUUAGAUACCGCCCUAGUUCUAACCAUAAACGAUGCCAGCUAGCGAUCUGCCGACGUUUUCUUUGUAGACUCGGCAGGAAGCUUCCGGGAAACCAAAGCAUUUGGGUUCCAGGGGAAGUAUGGUUGCAAAGCUGAAACUUAAAGGAAUUGACGGAAGGGCACCACCAGGAGUGGAGCCUGUGGCUUAAUUUGAUUCAACACGGGAAAUCUCACCAGGCCCGGACACUGGAAGGAUUGACAGAUUGAGAGCUCUUUCUCGAUUCGGUGGGUG
rnacentral:rRNA from 1 species